GUCUACAGCCACGCCCAGCUGAACGUGCCAGAACUCGUCUGAUCUCGGAAGCUAAGCAGGGUCGAGCCUGGUUAGUACUUGGAUGGGAGACCACCUAGGAAGACCAGGUGCUGUAGGUG
rnacentral:rRNA from 1 species